CCCUUAGAUGUCCUGGGCCGCACGCGUGCUACACUGAUGCAUACAGCGAGCACUUCCCGGCCCCGAAAGGCGGCUGGUAAUCAGCAAUAUGCAUCGUGAUGGGGAUAGUUCUUUGGAAUUCUUGAACUUGAACGAGGAAUGCCUAGUAGGCGCACGUCAUUACCGUGCGUCGAUUAAGUCCCUGCCCUUUGUACACACCGCCCGUCGCUGCUACCGAUUCGAGUGAUCCGGUGAACCCUUUGGACCGAGGCAGCUUGCUGUUUUGGAAAAUCGAGUAAACCACGUCACUUAGAGGAAGGAGAAGUCGUAACA
rnacentral:rRNA from 1 species